AGAGUUUGAUCCUGGCUCAGGACGAACGCUGGCGGCGCGCUUAAUGCAUGCAAGUCGAACGGUGAACCCGACUUCGGUCGGUGGAUCAGUGGCAGACGGCUGAGUAACACGUAAGUAACCAACCCUUGGGUGGGGAAUAACAUUGGGAAACCAAUGCUAAUACCGCAUAGUCUUUGAAAUCAAAUGGUUUCAAUGUAAAGGCUUCGGUCGCCCGAGGACGGGCUUGCGGCUUAUCAGGUUGUUGGUGGGGUAAUGGCCUACCAAGCCUACGACGGGUAACUGGUCUGAGAGGACGAUCAGUCAGAGGGGGACUGCGACACGGCCCCCACUCCUACGGGAGGCAGCAGCAGGGAAUCUUGCGCAAUGGACGAAAGUCUGACGCAGCGACGCCGCGUGAAGGAAGAAGGCUCUAGGGUUGUAAACUUCUUUUCUGAGGGAAGAGUAAGGACGGUACCUCAGGAAUAAGCCUCGGCUAACUACGUGCCAGCAGCCGCGGUAAUACGUAGGAGGCAAGCGUUGUCCGGAUUUAUUGGGCGUAAAGGGCGUGCAGGUGGCAUAGAAAGUUUUUGUUGAAAUCUCCCGGCUUAACUGGGAGGGGUGCAAGAAUACUUCUAAGCUAGAGGGCAGUAGAGGAAAGUGGAAUUCAUGGUGUAGUGGUGAAAUGCGUAGAUAUCAUGAGGAACACCAGUGGCGAAAGCGGCUUUCUGGGCUGCACCUGACACUGAGGCGCGAAAGCAUGGGUAGCAAACCGGAUUAGAUACCCGGGUAGUCCAUGCCAUAAACGAUGGAUACUGAGUAUGGGGGGUAUCGACCCCUUCUGUGCUGAAGCUAACGCGUUAAGUAUCCCGCCUGGGAACUACGGUCGCAAGACUAAAACUCAAAGGAAUUGACGGGGCCCCGCACAAGCAGCGGAGCGUGUGGUUUAAUUCGAUGCUAAGCGAAGAACCUUACCAGGGUUUGACAUACUAGUAGUACUGAUCCGAAAGGUGAAGGACCCCUCGGGGAGCUAGUACAGGUGCUGCAUGGCUGUCGUCAGCUCGUGCCGUGAGGUGUUGGGU
rnacentral:rRNA from 1 species